GCGGGAGUAGCUCAGUUGGUUAGAGCGCCGCCCUGUCACGGCGGAGGCCGCGGGUUCGAGUCCCGUCUCUCGCG
rfam:Alphaproteobacteria bacterium 13_1_20CM_3_64_12 13_1_20cm_3_scaffold_24339, whole genome shotgun sequence.